rnacentral:rRNA from 1 species
AGUGAACGCUGGCGGUAGGCCUAACACAUGCAAGUCGAACGGCAGCACAGUAAGAGCUUGCUCUUACGGGUGGCGAGUGGCGGACGAGUGAGGAAUACAUCGGAAUCUACUUUUUCGUGGGGGAUAACGUAGGGAAACUUACGCUAAUACCGCAUACGACCUACGGGUGAAAGCAGGGGAUCUUCGGACCUUGCGCGAUUGAAUGAGCCGAUGUCGGAUUAGCUAGUUGGCGGGGUAAAGGCCCACCAAGGCGACGAUCCGUAGCUGGUCUGAGAGGAUGAUCAGCCACACUGGAACUGAGACACGGUCCAGACUCCUACGGGAGGCAGCAGUGGGGAAUAUUGGACAAUGGGCGAAAGCCUGAUCCAGCCUUACCGCGUGGGUGAAGAAGGCCUUCGGGUUGUAAAGCCCUUUUGUUGGGAAAGAAAAGCAGCAGGUUAAUACCCCGCUGUUCUGACGGUACCCAAAGAAUAAGCACCGGCUAACUUCGUG